rnacentral:rRNA from 1 species
UACGUAGGGUGCGAGCGUUAAUCGGAAUUACUGGGCGUAAAGGGUGCGUAGGCGGUUGUUUAAGUCUGUCGUGAAAUCCCCGGGCUCAACCUGGGAAUGGCGAUGGAUACUGGGCAGCUAGAGUGUGUCAGAGGAUGGUGGAAUUCCCGGUGUAGCGGUGAAAUGCGUAGAGAUCGGGAGGAACAUCAGUGGCGAAGGCGGCCAUCUGGGACAACACUGACGCUGAAGCACGAAAGCGUGGGGAGCAAACAGG